CAGCAGCUAAAAGCUCUCCAUGGUCAUCAUCUGGUUCACCAGUAAAUUCAUUGGGUAAAUUAUUCAUUGACUGCCUUGGCCGUGUGGAUCCUUUGCGCUCAGACCACUUCUUGGUAGGUGGUCGACCUGAUUUACUAUCAACCUUCUCGGAACUAUUUCUGCCACUUUUCCACUGAGAACUGUCAGGCUUCUCAAUUGAUGCAGGCAUUCCAGACCUUGACGAGCUUGAACCACGCCCAUUCCUCCCUUGCCUCCGAAUGCCAUCUCCGAGAUCUUCAUCAGUGCCCACCUUAAUUUUCCUCGAAGGCUGUACCAAGGUUGCAACCUUCUGAACAGUGGAGCCAUCUCUCUCAUCUGCCUCACUAGAUUUCUUACCCUUGUCUUUUGGCUUGUUCUCAGCAGCGCCAGACUCUUCACUUUCUGAUAAUCCUGGUGACGGUGCAUAGUCUCCUUUUAAUUUUGAUUGUUGAG
rnacentral:misc_RNA from 1 species